GGGUUGUGAGGUUAAGCGACUAAGCGUACACGGUGGAUGCCCUGGCAGUCAGAGGCGAUGAAGGGCGUGCUAAUCUGCGAUAAGCGCCGGUAAGGUGAUAUGAACCGUUAUAACCGGCGAUACCCGAAUGGGGAAACCCAGUGUGACUCGUCACACUAUCAUUAACUGAAUCCAUAGGUUAAUGAGGCGAACCGGGGGAACUGAAACAUCUAAGUACCCCGAGGAAAAGAAAUCAACCGAGAUUCCCCCAGUAGCGGCGAGCGAACGGGGAGGAGCCCAGAGCCUGAAUCAGCAUGUGUGUUAGUGGAAGCGUCUGGAAAGGCGCGCGAUACAGGGUGACAGCCCCGUACACAAAAGCGCAUGUGCUGUGAGCUCGAUGAGUAGGGCGGGACACGUGGUAUCCUGUCUGAAUAUGGGGGGACCAUCCUCCAAGGCUAAAUACUCCUGACUGACCGAUAGUGAACCAGUACCGUGAGGGAAAGGCGAAAAGAACCCCGGCGAGGGGAGUGAAAAAGAACCUGAAACCGUGUACGUACAAGCAGUGGGAGCCCCACCACUAAGCCAGUGGUGAACUCCACAUACGCAUCCUUUGCUGAGGAUACGGUUAACGGAGCGCAAGCGACGUUCAACCGCAAAAGAAGCAGAGGGGGCUUAGUGGUGGGGUGACUGCGUACCUUUUGUAUAAUGGGUCAGCGACUUAUAUUCUGUAGCAAGGUUAACCGUAUAGGGGAGCCGGAGGGAAACCGAGUCUUAAUUGGGCGUUAAGUUGCAGGGUAUAGACCCGAAACCCGGUGAUCUAGCCAUGGGCAGGUUGAAGGUUGGGUAACACUAACUGGAGGACCGAACCGACUAAUGUUGAAAAAUUAGCGGAUGACCUGUGGCUGGGGGUGAAAGGCCAAUCAAACCGGGAGAUAGCUGGUUCUCCCCGAAAGCUAUUUAGGUAGCGCCUCGUGAAUUCAUCUCCGGGGGUAGAGCACUGUUUCGGCUAGGGGGCCAUCCCGGCUUACCAACCCGAUGCAAACUGCGAAUACCGGAGAAUGUUAUCACGGGAGACACACGGCGGGUGCUAACGUCCGUCGUGAAGAGGGAAACAACCCAGACCGCCAGCUAAGGUCCCAAAGUCAUGGUUAAGUGGGAAACGAUGUGGGAAGGCCCAGACAGCCAGGAUGUUGGCUUAGAAGCAGCCAUCAUUUAAAGAAAGCGUAAUAGCUCACUGGUCGAGUCGGCCUGCGCGGAAGAUGUAACGGGGCUAAACCAUGCACCGAAGCUGCGGCAGCGACACUGUGUGU
rnacentral:rRNA from 1 species